AGUUCAGCACUAAGUCACUUUGUCUUAAUGGCAAAUGUGAGAUGCAGUGUAUGGAAUGUCAAAUUUCUAGUAUGAGAAAUUAACGAUUUAAGUCCUUCUUAAAUGAGGCCAUUUACCCAAAGAGGGUGCCAGGCCCGUAUAACGUUAAUGAUUACUAGAUGGCAUUUCCAAAGAGUCGUGUUGCUUGAUAGUGCAGCACUAAGUGGGUGGUAAACUCCAUCUAAAACUAAAUAUAACCAUGAGACCGAUAGUAAACAAGUACCGUGAGGGAAAGUUGAAAAGAACUCUGAAUAGAGAGUUAAAUAGUACGUGAAACUGCUUAGAGGUUAAGCCCGAUGAACCUGAAUAUCCAUUAUAGAAAAUUCAUCAUUAUGAUUUUAAUAUUUAUAAUAUUAUAAUAAUGGUGUGCAUUUUUUCUAUAAAAGGACAUUGUAAUCUAUUAACAUCAAAUAUUUAUCAAAAGAUCAAUUGCAAAAGUUUAUUCAAAUUAUUUUGCUUGCAAUUUAACAUAGAAUAAAUGCUUUUGAUUUGAUAAAGUGUUGAUAGAUUUAUUAUAUAUAGUGCUUGAAUAUUUAUAUUCUAUAAUAGCAUAUUAAUCAUUGAUUUUUAUGUUUAUUAUAUGCACUUAUAUGAUUAACAAUGCGAAAGAUUCAGGAUACCUUCGGGACCCGUCUUGAAACACGGACCAAGGAGUCUAACAUAUUUGCAAGUUAUUGGGAAUAAAAACCUAAUAGCGAAAUUAACAUAACUUAUUUAAUGGGAUUAAUUUUUAGCCUAUUUAUAGUCUAUUAAUUCAAUCCCGGGGCGUUCUAUACAGUUAUGUAUAAUAAUAUUUAUAUUAUUUAUACCUCUAACUAGAGCGUACCUUGAGCAUAUAUGCUGUGACCCGAAAGAUGGUGAACUAUACUUGAUCAGGUUGAAGUCAGGGGAAACCCUGAUGGAAGACCGAAA
rnacentral:rRNA from 1 species